UACAGAGGGUGCAAGCGUCAAUCGGAAUUACUGGGCGUAAAGGGCGCGUAGGUGGUUACGUAAGUGAGAUGUGAAAUCCCUGGGCUCAACCUGGGAACUGCGUCUUAUACUGCGUAGCUUGAGUACAAUAGAGGGUAGUGGAAUUUCCGGUGUAGCGGUGAAAUGCGUAGAUAUCGGAAGGAACACCAGUGGCGAAGGCGGCUACCUGGAUUGAUACUGACACUGAGGCGCGAGAGCGUGGGGAGCAAACAGG
rnacentral:rRNA from 1 species